CUGGUCCUACGGGGGGCAGCAGUGGGGGAUAUUGCACAAUGGGGGAAACCCUGAUGCAGCGACGCCGCGUGGGUGAAGAAGCGCCUCGGCGCGUAAAGCCCUGUCAGCAGGGAAGAAAAUGACGGUACCUGAAGAAGAAGCCCCGGCUAACUACGUGCCAGCAGCCGCGGUAAUACGUAGGGGGCAAGCGUUAUCCGGAUUUACUGGGUGUAAAGGGGGCGCAGACGGCGAUGCAAGCCAGGAGUGAACGCCCGGGGCCCACCCCCGGGACUGCUCUUGGAACUGCGGGGCUAGAGUGCAGGAGG
rnacentral:rRNA from 1 species